rnacentral:lncRNA from 1 species
UUAAACUUUAAAACUUUGAGUUGUUAGACAGUCUAGUCUCUCUAGAUGAUCUUGUCUUAACAUAGAAUGUUUGUUGAACUUCCUUAAUCAAUGCACCUUCUUGACCGUAAAGCAUUUUAUUUCCACCUUUAUCACCAUUAGGUCAUCUUGUUUAAGAUUUAUGGCCUUAAAGUUUCUGUUGGUGAAGGUGAUGGGUGGAAUACACCUUCUCAUAGAUGUCAACAUUGCAUUAACAGAUCGUAUUAUCGUUAGAUGCUUUUUCUGUAUGAUUGUCGAAGACCCCUCCAACAAACCCUCCUAUAAUGGUGUUGAUAGUUCCUUUCAAAAGGGGUUUGGAAUUAAGAUGUGAUUUCUUCCCUCC